CUUAUACUCCCUCCGUUCGGAAUUACUUGUCUCGGAAAUGGAUGUAUCUAAAACUAAAAUACAUCUAGAUACAUCCAUUUUCGCGACAAGUAAUUCCGAACGGAGGAAGUAUUUA
rnacentral:pre_miRNA from 1 species